rnacentral:misc_RNA from 1 species
AAGUCGUAACAAGGUUUCCGUAGGUGAACCUGCGGAAGGAUCAUUGGAAGGGGGGAGAGAUGAGAGUUGGAACACGAGUGAAUAAUCUAUAUUUAUCAACAAAUACAACAACUGCUGACAAUGGAUCUCUGGGCUCUU